rnacentral:rRNA from 1 species
UGAGGAAUAUUGGUCAAUGGGGGCAACCCUGAACCAGCCAAGUCGCGUGAAGGAUGAAGGUCUUAUGGAUUGUAAACUUCUUUUACACGGGAAUAAAGCGGGGGACGUGUCCCUCUUUGCAUGUACCGUGUGAAUAAGGAUCGGCUAACUCCGUGCCAGCAGCCGCGGUAAUACGGAGGAUCCGAGCGUUAUCCGGAUUUAUUGGGUUUAAAGGGUGCGCAGGCGGGAUGUUAAGUCGGCGGUGAAAUUUUGCAGCUCAACUGUAAAAGUGCCUUCGAUACUGGCCUUCUUGAGUGUGGAUGAAGUAGGCGGAAUUUGUGGUGUAGCGGUGAAAUGCUUAGAUAUCACGAGGAACUCCGAUUGCGCAGGCAGCUUACUAAGCCACAACUAACGCUCAUGCACGAAGGCGUGGGGAUCAAACA